rnacentral:rRNA from 1 species
GACGAACGCUGGCGGCGUGCUUAAUACAUGCAAGUCGAGCGGUGAAGGCGGGUAUUUGUGCCAACGGGAUGAGCAGCGAAGGGGAGAGUAACGCGUGGGGAAUCCGCCUUUUAGCGGGGGACAAUAAUUGGAAACGAACGCUAAGACCACAUAAAAACUUUCAACACAAGAUUUAAGGUUAAAAUAUGUAAUUGGAUCACUCAAAGACGACCUCGCGUUGUAUUAGCUAGUUGGUGAGGUAAACGCUCACCAAGGCGAGGAUAUAUAGCCGACCUGCUAGGGUGCUCGGCCACGUUGGGAGUGAGACACGGCCCAAAAUCCUACAGGAGGCAGCAGUAGGGGAUCUUCAGGAAUGGACGAAAUUCUGACCGAGCCGCGCCGCGUGAGUGCAGAACGUUGUCGGAUCGUGAAACUCUGUUGGUCGAGUGGAACGUUGGUGAGAGUGGAAAGCUCAUAAAGUGACGGUAACUGCCCAGAAAGCGACGGCUAACUACGUG